CCUACGGGAGGCAGCAGUGAGGAAUAUUGGUCACUGGACGAGAGUCUGAACCAGCCAAGUAGCGUGAAGGAUGACUGCCCUAUGGGUUGUAAACUUCUUUUAUAUGGGAAUAAAACGUUCCAUGUGUGGGAUUUUGUAUGUACCAUAUGAAUAAGGAUCGGCUAACUCCGUGCCAGCAGCCGCGGUAAUACGGAGGAUCCGAGCGUUAUCCGGAUUUAUUGGGUUUAAAGGGAGCGUAGGUGGAUUGGUAAGUCAGUUGGGAAAGUUUGCGGCUCAACCGUAAAAUUGCAGUUGAAACUGGCAGUCUUGAGUACAGUAGAGGUGGGCGGAAUCCGUGGUGUAGCGGUGAAAUGCUGAGAUAUCACGAAGAACUCCGAUUGCGAAGGCAGUUCACUGGACUGCAACUGACACUGAGGCUCGAAAGUGUGGGUAUCAAACAGGAUUAGAUACCCGGGUAGUC
rnacentral:rRNA from 1 species